rnacentral:rRNA from 1 species
AGUGAACGCUGGCGGUAGGCCUAACCCAUGCAGUUCAGGCGGAAGCCCAGUAGGAGUUUGCUUUUCCGGUGGGGAGGUGGGGGAGGGGUGGGGAAUCAACCGGAUUCUCCUUUUUGGGGGGGGUUACGUUGGGGAACCUACGGUUAUUACGCAUACCACCCUCGGGUUAAAGGCAGGGGUUCUUCGACCUUUCCCCAAUGGAUUAGCCGAUGUCGGAUUAGCUAGUUGGCGGGGUAAAGGCCCACCAAGGCGACGAUCCGUAGCUGGUCUGAGAGGAUGAUCAGCCACACUGGAACUGAGACACGGUCCAGACUCCUACGGGAGGCAGCAGUGGGGAAUAUUGGACAAUGGGCGCAAGCCUGAUCCAGCCAUACCGCGUGGGUGAAGAAGGCCUUCGGGUUGUAAAGCCCUUUUGUUGGGAAAGAAAAGCAGCAGGUUAAUACCCCGCUGUUCUGACGGUACCCAAAGAAUAAGCACCGGCUAACUUCGUG